CAUGCAGAGCAGGGGGGCCUGAGGACUGGAAUUGAGAAGCACUGACCUACACCAACGCCUCCGUUACCCUGGAAACCAAAAGCGCGACAAUACACACAACACUAAGUUUAACAUUAAUGACCAAAAUAAAACACAGAAAAUAUUAAGGUCAGCUACAUGGUCGUGGCGGGAGCUAAAGGACCCCAGAACGCUGCGGACCGACGCUGAACGUAGCGGUUGCGUAGAGACGGACACUGCGCACCGAGAAGGACCUCGCUGCAGCAAACAGAAAGGGGCGGGGACGGACCCUUCCGUCAGUCCCAUACAUUAUGUGAAAAUUGGACUAUUGCAUUCCGGAAAUGAAGGGGGCGCUGUUUUCAUAAUCACUAGUAUAAAUACCUUAAAGACGCGGGGUUAGGAGGAAACGAAGAAAGAAAAAAGUUUAAGAGGUUCUUCCACUGGUGUUCGGCACACGAUCAACAAAACCCACAAAGUCAAGAAAAGGUAAUUUUACCUUCUUAAAAUUUUUUCACAUAGUAAAUCAAUACGCUUUUCUAGAUUAGGUUGAAAAUAUAAUUAACAGCUCUAAACUAGUGAAAUUCGUAAUUCAUAUGGGGAAGGCUAAUUUUAGCAUGUAGCAAAUUAUUAUCCUGCAGGACAACAUUAGAUAAAAAUAGUAAAGUAGAUAACAUGUUUAAUUGAGAAAUGUAUUUUAUACUCAAACUAACAGAUCCACCUAUCCAUUUGCAACAUUCGGAACAGAGAGGAGAUUCUCCCGUAUUGCUACGAUAAACAUUGUCUUCCUCUUUGCUCAUACAGUGCCGAUGAGUAGAAGGUACAGAACCAUGUAGCACAAACUGCUAUGGUUCAACAUAACGGUAUGUAGAACUACACUUGAAGAAUCUAAAAUAUUUUUUUUACAUACUUACCAGUUUUCUAGUGUUAAAGAAGAAGAAACCUAACAAACAUUUAUUUGUGUAUCGUGUUUUAUUUCUUUAUGGAUUAAAAUGUGUUCUUCAUUCAGUUAAGUUACUUGCAUUAGGUUGCAUAUCAAAAAAAUUUACUCAAGAGUAUAACAUGGAAAAAUAGUCCUAAUUUUAAUUAAUUAAUUUUUUUAUUUUGUCAAAAGUUGCAGAGUAAUUGAGUAAAUCUAAUUAGUGAACACCUGCCCUUGGCUGCUUGAGGGCAGGUGUCACUUUUACAAUUUCAAUUAAUUUUUUGCAGAAUAUAUAUUAGUAUCUGGAAGCCAUUGUGAGUUUGAAAAUUAAUUAUUAAAUCCUACAAAACAGUAACAAUAAUGUUAAAGAAUAUACAGUGAUUAAUUCAAACAUGUAUAUUUCCUGAUGUGUAAAAACCUUUUUCAACAGGGAUUGCCUGAACAAGGACUGUCCAGCAACUGUUUUAAUGUUUGUAGUCAUGGUAACAUCCGCUUCCACCCACCAUAUUGUUGUAUGGUCUUUAUAGAUGUAAUAAUCACAUUUUUCCCAACAGUGUGCACUGUACUUUGUGAUGGGAGCAUCAUGUGAUUUCAGUGAGGAUGAUAUGAUGACAAUAUGAAGAUGGUCUCUCUCUCUCUCUUAAGAAACGUCCCUGUGAGGUUCAGAGAAGAACAACAAAAGGAGAGAGAGCAGAAAAAAGUUGAUGAAGGCAAAAUGUGAGACUGUGUGCUGAUGGCCACACUGAUCCCAAAGCAGGCGAGGCUCAAAUUGAGGUACAAAGGAUACCACCAACCUCACAGAUGCCUCUGCAUGGACUUGAAGCUGUUGUCCAGGUGGAGGUUCUGACCCAGGUUCUGACCCAGGUUCUGACCCAGGAGACACAGCUGACCUCACCUUGGCAUUGACCUGCAGGUCCUUUCAUUGUGUCUGACCCGGUUUUCAGGAAGAAGACUCACUUUGCUUGGCUGGACGAUCAACUGGGGGAAAUUUUCAGAGUCAUUCCAGGCAGAAAACCGGAUUCCUCUUGCUGUUGUAACGUGUUCUUCCUGCCACCGGUGAUAUAAAGACUGUGGGCUUCACCGGCAGUGGAAGACCAGGAGAGAUCCCUCCUUCUUACUGUGAUGGGUCUUCUGGACCCUGACCUGAACGUCAACACUGAAUGCAAGGAGAAUAUUAGUUGCUUUCCACAAUCUGUCACACAUUUCAGUCGUCACACGUUGUUUAGUUUUUUUUUUUUUUGUGACAUGUCAUUUUAAAUAGUUUCUGCUAAAGAAUAUUUACCUUUUGACUUGUGCAGGGAUCCUUUUUCAUAAUGUGUUCUUUCAAUAUUAUGUACAUUUUUGAAAGUUCCUUUUGUUGUAGCUCAGUUGAUUUACAUUAUUUAGUUUUCAUAGAGUUGUUUUUUUUAAACACUUGGCACCCACUGUCCACUUUUCUUUUCUUUGGUCCGCUCAUUUUUACCGAAGGGGGGAAAUGGCAGCUGGAAAGUUACACUCCAACAAAGGUCAAUGUGUCUAGACUAGUGCGCCGUCUAUCGGGGAAACGAGGGUAUUGCAGGGGAAAGGGAAAUGAAUGAGGUUUUUACACAUCCCUGGGUUUUUACUAUAAUUUGGACAAGUUCGGCGGGCCGGAUUAAAAAGCCUGGGGGCCGUAGUUUGCCCACAUCUGACUUAACCAUUAAUGCACCGGCCAACCGGGACCACAUACAUAAACUUGAUCAGUGCAGGAACAGAAGCAGGCGCUGGGCAGCAAGUUGAGAUGUAAACACAGCACAUAAUUCUUUGCUCACAAAAAUAAUUCACUCAAUGCGCACCUCUGAAAGAGCGACUCCGGGUUAUACCAUAGAGCUGCACAAGCAGAGCUAACGCAGUGGGUUUUAAUUUCCUACCUUGAUGUAGAGUUCUCCAAAGAAACAUAAUUUCUCACAGGGGGUUGAUGUAAAUAUCCAUAUUGACCUACCUGUGUCCAGUUUGAGCAAAAGGAGGUGCGUGCAAUCUGCACCGAAGUAAACUUCAGACAUGAAGCAGCGACAGCACGGGGCAGUGCAAAGAAGCGCCAGCAGUGUGACUGGUCUGCGCUCCCGGCUUUGUGGCCCAUUUAGUGCAUCAACUAUAAACAGAUCUUUUAGGAAUAAUUCUGCUCCUCCGGUAAAACGCUCAGCAAAACAGAAACAGUUGCAGUCCAGCUUAGAAUAAAAAAAAAAAAAAAGUAAGCAAUUUCUUUUUCUAAAAACUAUAAAAACUAAAACAAGCAACACUUAGCCUGGUGGGGUAAAGUCUGGCUAUCUGCCACGCUUAUAAUACACUGAGGGAAACCCUGAGUACCCCAGACCGUCAGAUCACAAAUUAGUAACCCAACUGGUCAGACCAUGAACCUGUCAAAUCAGUAUCCCAACCUGUCGGAUCUUCAUCUUAACCUCAUGACAAGAUGAGGUUAAAUUGACCUGACUUAUAAGGCUCAACUGGGGCGUGCUCCGGUGGCGUAGAGGUUAGCGCGCCCCACGUUUGGAGGCCCUCAGUCCUCGACGCGGCCGUCACGGGUUCGAUUCCCGGACCCGACGACAUUUGCCGCAUGUCU